rnacentral:piRNA from 1 species
UGGUGAGCUCAUUUGUUCUUCUGGACAUGC